AAAAGUCGUAACAAGGUCUCCGUAGGUGAACCUGCGGAGGGAUCAUUACACAAUAAAAUACGAAGGCCGUUCGCGGCUGGACUAUUUAUUACCCUUGUCUUUUGCGCACUUGUUGUUUCCUGGGCGGGUUCGCUCGCCACCAGGACCACAAUCUAAACCUUUUUUAUGCAGUUGCAAUCAGCGUCAGUAUAACAAAUGUAAAUCAUUUACAACUUUCAACAACGGAUCUCUUGGUUCUGGCAUCGAUGAAGAACGCAGCGAAAUGCGAUACGUAGUGUGAAUUGCAGAAUUCAGUGAAUCAUCGAAUCUUUGAACGCACAUUGCGCCCUUUGGUAUUCCAAAGGGCAUGCCUGUUCGAGCGUCAUUUGUACCCUCAAGCUUUGCUUGGUGUUGGGCGUUUUUGUCCUUGGGGUUUGCCCCAAAGACUCGCCUUAAAACGAUUGGCAGCCGGCCUACUGGUUUCGCAGCGCAGCACAUUUUUGCGCUUGCAAUCAGCAAAAGAGGACGGCAAUCCAUCAAGACUCCUUCUCACGUUUGACCUCGGAUCAGGUAGGGAUACCCGCUGAACUUAAGCAUAUCAA
rnacentral:rRNA from 1 species